rnacentral:rRNA from 1 species
GAUGAACGCUGGCGGCGUGCCUAAUACAUGCAAGUCGAGCGCACAGACGUGGAGCUUGAUCCUGUUUGCUUCGGAUCGGUCGGGAGUGUAAUAAGUGGCUAACCUGCGUGUAAGACUUGGAUAACUUCGCGAAAAGUGAGGGAUAACAGGUUAAAACAUAUACUCGUACGGCCUAAUACUUAAAGACGCUUGGGGUGUGACUGAUAGAUGGUUCCGCGUUGCAUUAUGUAGUUGGUAAGGUAACCGCUUACAAAGUGAGCGAUGCAUAGCCGACCUGAGAGGGUAAUCGGCCACACUGGAACUGAGACACGGUCCAGACUCCUACGGGAGGCAGCAGUAGGGAAUCUUCCACAAUGGACGAAAGCCUGACGGAGCAACGCCGCGUGAGUGAUGAAGGUCUUCGGAUCGUAAAACUCUGUUAUUAGGGAAGAACAUAUCUGUAAGUAACUAAGCACGUAUUGACGGUACCUAAUCAGAAAGCCACGGCUAACUACGUG